AAAGUGUAUUACUUAAAAAUAAUGAGUCAGGCUGUUUAAGGUUUUUGUGUAAUAGUAGGAUUAUCUACAAAUUAACUUGGACUGUAGAAUAAUCCCAAUUUUUAUUUUGUAGCCAAUUACUCACCACAGAAAAUUACAAAUUGGCACAGCAAGGCAUGUUCAAGGGAAAACCUGGCAUUGUGUACACAGACCCUGAGAGAUACCGUACAGCAAGAACUGGUUUAAUUUAUGGGCUUCAGUUACUUCA
rnacentral:lncRNA from 1 species